rnacentral:rRNA from 1 species
UACGGAGGGGACUAGCGUUGUUCGGAAUUACUGGGCGUAAAGCGCACGUAGGCGGAUUUGUAAGUCAGGGUGAAAUCCCGGGGCUCAACCUCGGAACUGCCUUUGAUACUGCAAAUCUCGAGUCCGGAAGAGGUGAGUGGAAUUCCUAGUGUAGAGGUGAAAUUCGUAGAUAUUAGGAAGAACACCAGUGGCGAAGGCGGCUCACUGGUCCGGUACUGACGCUGAGGUGCGAAAGCGUGGGGAGCAAACA